AUCCCGGGUGAGGCAAGAAUCAGGAGUCACGCUUAUCCCUCGCCCGUAGGAGGAGAGGACGAGGGGAAGGGACAGUCCAGCAUAUAAGCUCAUCGGCUCAAAGAUUCGGCAGUCGAGUCCGAAGCCGACGACCACGAUGCGGUUCCUUGCCUUCAUCCUCCUCCUGGCUCUCGCCGUCGCCUUCGUCGGGGCUAAGUCCUUGGCCUGCUGCGGCGGCGGAGGUAACGGAGGUCACCAUGGAGGUCAUGGCGGUGGAGGCUUCGGCGGAGGCUUCGGAGGCGGUGGAGGAUUGGGAGGUGGCGGAGGCUUCGGAGGCGGAUUCGGAGGAUAGAACUUAGCGACUUCACGGAGAGAUCGCACCCACACCACAUGACCAACGCAAUUUCAGUUUAAAAAUUACCACUUGUCAUAGCAUGUUGUUAGUAUCUUUUCACCAAGUAUGUACCUCUUAUUUCUUUCACUUAUUUUCUGUUCUUUUCCUUACUAUUCGAAAUAAAGAAAUACCAAAACCA